rnacentral:rRNA from 1 species
AGUACGGCCGCAAGGUUAAAACUCAAAUGAAUUGACGGGGGCCCGCACAAGCGGUGGAGCAUGUGGUUUAAUUCGACGCAACGCGAAGAACCUUACCUACUCUUGAAAUCCAGAGAAUUCGCUAGAGAUAGCUUAGUGCCUUCGGGAACUCUGUGACAGGUGCUGCAUGGCUGUCGUCAGCUCGUGUUGUGAAAUGUUGGGUUAAGUCCCGUAACGAGCGCAACCCUUGUCCUUAUUUGCCAGCACAUAAUGGUGGGAACUCUAAGGAGACUGCCGGUGACAAACCGGAGGAAGGUGGGGACGACGUCAAGUCAUCAUGGCCCUUACGAGUAGGGCUACACACGUGCUACAAUGGCCGGUACAGAGGGCUGCAACCCCGCGAGGGUGAGCUAAUCUCAGAAAACCGGUCGUAGUCCGGAUUGGAGUCUGCAACUCGACUCCAUGAAGUCGGAAUCGCUAGUAAUCGCGAAUCAGAAUGUCGCGGUGAAUACGUUCCCGGGCCUUGUACACACCGCCCGUCACACCAUGGGAGUGGAUUGCACCAGAAGUAGCUAGCUUAACCUUCGGGAGGGCGGUUACCACGGUGUGGUUCAUGACUGGGGUGAAGUCGUAACAAGGUAGCCCUAGGGGAACCUGGGGCUG